UAGGGAAUCUUCCGCAAUGGGCGAAAGCCUGACGGAGCAACGCCGCGUGAGUGAUGAAGGUCUUAGGAUCGUAAAACUCUGUUAUUAGGGAAGAACAAAUGUGUAAGUAACUAUGCACGUCGUGACGGUACCUAAUCAGAAAGCCACGGCUAACUACGUGCCAGCAGCCGCUGUAAUACGUAGGUGGCAAGCGUUAUCCGGAAUUAUUGGGCGUAAAGCGCGCGUAGGCGAUUUUUUAAGUCUGAUGUGAAAGCCCACGGCUCAACCGUGGAGGGUCAUUGGAAACUGGAAAACUUGAGUGCAGAAGAGGAAAGUGGAAUUCCAUGUGUAGCGGUGAAAUGCGCAGAGAUAUGGAGGCACACCAGUGGCGAAGGCGACUUUCUGGUCUGUAACUGACGCUGAUGUGCGAAAGCGUGGGGAUCAAACAGG
rnacentral:rRNA from 1 species